GCUGAGGAUCGAACCCGGGCCGCACGCAUGCCAGGAGAGUGCGCUACCGCUUGAGCCACAUCCCCAGCCCCCAGAGACUUGUUCUUGAGAGUGUGCAUCUCACCUUUCCUGCGUGGCACUCCACUUGGAGUGUGAGUUCCUUGCCUUCAAGACCCAGUGCUACCUUCGUGUAGCUCAUACCUGAAACUGCUGCGACUCUGGAAGCCGAAACCCGUAUUGCAAGAUGGAGACCAGCAUGGGUCUUUCCCAGGUUCCCAGGUGUGACAUUUCAGGCCUGGUGGACUAUGAACCAGUGUCGCGCCCCAGUUCAAUAGGAUUGACCAGGUGCUUUUCCACUGAAUUGCAGCUCUUCAUAAUGCCACUGUGGGGUGAUGACUGCUUCAGAUCCGAUGAACUGGUCUAUUUUUGUGCUUGCCUUGACUUGUUUUACAAACCAAGAUUUGGGGCCCAAGACAAAAGACUUGAGUUUAGAUUUUCUAACUGUGGAGGAGCUCGAGCAAAGUCUUGGCUGUUGGCCAUGUGCCUGUACAACUUGGCACUCAGGGUCUGAGUUCACAUGUCUAACAAGCUUGGAAAACCCCAGAGCAAAAAGAUCAAGCCUCUUGGCCUGAUGUGAGCCUCAGAAGUCCUUGCCCAAUAAACAACUGCUGGCAAUGAGAUGGAA